AGCGGCCGCGAAAUUCGCCCUUAGAGUUUGAUCAUGGCUCAGAUUGAACGCUGGCGGCAGGCCUAACACAUGCAAGUCGAACGGUAACAGGAUGUGCUUGCACAUCGCUGACGAGUGGCGGACGGGUGAGUAAUGCUUGGGAACAUGCCUUUGUGAGGGGGAUAACAGUUGGAAACGACUGCUAAUACCGCAUAACGUCUACGGACCAAAGGGGGCUUCGGCUCUCGCGCAAAGAGUGGCCCAAGUGAGAUUAGCUAGUUGGUGGGGUAAAGGCUCACCAAGGCGACGAUCUCUAGCUGUUCUGAGAGGAAGAUCAGCCACACUGGGACUGAGACACGGCCCAGACUCCUACGGGAGGCAGCAGUGGGGAAUAUUGCACAAUGGGGGGAACCCUGAUGCAGCCAUGCCGCGUGUGUGAAGAAGGCCUUCGGGUUGUAAAGCACUUUCAGACGUGAGGAAAGGAUGAUGGUUAAUACCCAUCAUCUGUGACGUUAGCGUCAGAAGAAGCACCGGCUAACUCCGUGCCAGCAGCCGCGGUAAUACGGAGGGUGCGAGCGUUAAUCGGAAUUACUGGGCGUAAAGCGCACGCAGGCGGUUAUUUAAGCUAGAAGUGAAAG
rnacentral:rRNA from 1 species